rnacentral:rRNA from 1 species
UACGGAGGAUGCGAGCGUUAUCCGGAUUUAUUGGGUUUAAAGGGUGCGUAGGCGGGAUGCCAAGUCAGCGGUAAAAAUGCGGUGCUCAACGCCGUCGAGCCGUUGAAACUGGCGUUCUUGAGUGGGCGAGAAGUAUGCGGAAUGCGUGGUGUAGCGGUGAAAUGCAUAGAUAUCACGCAGAACUCCGAUUGCGAAGGCAGCAUACCGGCGCCCUACUGACGCUGAGGCACGAAAGUGUGGGUAUCAAACAGG